UACGUAGGGGGCGAGCGUUGUCCGGAUUCAUUGGGCGUAAAGAGCUCGUAGGCGGUUCGGUAAGUCAGAUGUGAAAACUCCAGGCUCAACUUGGAGACGCCAUCUGAUACUGUCGUGACUAGAGUCCGGUAGGGGAGCACGGAAUUCCUGGUGUAGCGGUGAAAUGCGCAGAUAUCAGGAGGAACACCAGCGGCGAAGGCGGUGCUCUGGGCCGGAACUGACGCUGAGGAGCGAAAGCGUGGGUAGCGAA
rnacentral:rRNA from 1 species